CAUUAUUUCUUUGUAACAAUUCAUUGUACCUUUGUAAGAUGAGUAUAAUAUCAAUUCACUUAUUCUCUCAUAGAGACCUCUGUUUAUAGGCAAAAAUUGCAUGAUUCAAAUAAAUCUUCCUGGAUUUUACUAUGAUUUGAAUAACCAGGACACAGCAAGAUACAAAUUUUUGUAACAAAAAUUGCAUGAUUCAAAUCAAUCUUCCUGAAUUUUACUAUGAUUUGAAUCACAUCAACCAGGACACAACAAGAUGCAAAAUUUUGUAGGGUGAUUGGAAUCAUGCUACCCCUUAUUUGAAUCAAUCAGGCCAGAAAGUGAUUAAAACCCGAUUCAGCACCCCGAUUCAAAUAAACCUUUCACACAUGUAAUCAUGCUUCGAAUCACCACAUCCAGAAAUUAAAAGAUACGAAUUUGAAGACAUAUUCGCCAUAUUGUUAAUGGAAUACAUAUCCGUAGAAUUACUUAUUUCAUAGUUUUAAAAAUUGGGAGCUUUUUAUCCACAAAAAAGAAAAGGAACAUUAUCAUUUGGUUCAAAAAGCCUUACCUUGAAGAUUAACCUCAUAUGCAGUUGUCAUGAUUGCCGAUUUUAUAGCAGACAGAGACCAAUCUGGAUGAUAGUUUUAUCAACAGUACUGCAAUUCCACUGAGAUGAGAACAAGACAUUGAGGUACCAUUAUUAAUUAUUAAAUCAACGUCUACAGUUUUGUUCGAUUGCAAUAUCAAUCAAUAUUAUUCAAUCAUUACCUAAAUACGAUUUUCUUUAUUGAGUGAGUAAAUUAAGUACAGUGUUUGUGUAGAUGAUCUUUACUUGCUAGUAGUACUCGGUGCGAUUUGCCAAACUUGCCAAAUUAUGAAGGGUGGCAAAGGAUUCUGGAUUUCAAUACAGUACAUGAAUUUUAUAAAGUUUGUUGCCAAUUGUCAAUAGUUGCAUUGUUCCUUAAUCUGAUCAACCAUAGUGCUUAAGUUUCUGGAUCAGUUAAUAGGCAAAUAAAUUAUAAAGGAGGCAGUUGCCUGCUGAUUUUGAUGGUUCGGAAGUGUUGAUACUAUAUCAGCAAUGUUGGGUUUGUGUGUAGGUUCACUUUUACUUGAAAAAUUAUUAUUAAUCAAAGUAGCAUUAAUAAUCAUUUUACAAUUAUCUCGGUAGAAAGUUGAACUUUAUAAAUUCAGGUUAAAUGGUUGAACUGUUAUCAGUGCAGCGACACACAUGGACUUUUAUUGGUAUACCUAUGUUGUCGAUAUUUCAUUCAACAUCUCCAGUCAAAAACAUUUAUUGGUUUACAUGUAUGUAUAUAAAAAAGAUAAAUUAUUAUAACAAUAAUGCUAUUGUAUUUCCAAUAACAAAUAUAAAUACCAAGUGAAUUACCAAUAAACUUGUACAAAGGAACUUCUUAGUAAGUCAGUAUCUCAUGAAUUUCUGCAACCAAUAUAUUCUAUUCCCUUCUUUAUUUCUGAAAUAUCAUAUUAAUUUAUCGCCCUCUCCCUUUAUGUAUCACUUAAAAAUGACAGAUAUUGGGAUCCUAACAGCAUGUCUAUCAGACACCCAAGUGAGAGAGCCCUGACCAAAAGUAUGAUUCCUUCUGUUUUCCUUUAUUUGUGGUAUAAAUUCAACAGAGAAACUAACCUUCUCAUUCACCUCAGUGAAUGUUAUUUCACUUGGAUUAACACUCAUACCCAAAGCUAAAGGUACUUCAAGUUCAACUUUAUAAGUUGAAUUUGCAAACCCAACAUUAGUCAAAGUUCUAGUAUAAUACUGUGAAUCAGACCCCAACAGAAUAGAGAAAGAAGGAUAGUUCAGCUGUGCUUCUGGUAUACUUUUCACAUUAGAGCACUUCACUUUCCACUGAACAAUAACUUCAAUCUCUUUAUCAGAAUAACCCAAACCACAUAGAUAAGGAACAUAAUCUUCUGGUUCAAUAUCAUAAACAAGACCAGGAUCAUUAGCUUUAACAGGAUUAACAUGUCCUGCACCAGUAGCGAAAAUAUCAGCCGGAAAAAGCCUUUGAUCCAGUAUAGGGAUCCCGCCGAGGUUGAGAGUAUUUGCAGUUGUCAUGAUUGCCGAUUUUAUAGCGGCUGGUGACCAAUCAGGAUGAGAACUUUUGAUCAAUGCAGCAAUACCACUUAGGUGAGGACAAGACAUCGAAGUACCCGAAACAAUGUCAAAAGCUGGAAUUUUGUUGUCUACAGAAACAGCCCAUGCAGCUAGAAUGUUGACACCUGGACCAAUGAUGUCUGGUUUAAGAAUUCCUGGACUUUCUUGGCUUGGUCCUCUUGAAGAAAAGUAAACAACAGAAGGAGCUAAAGAAUCACCAAUUAUCGUUCCUUUAAAUAUCAAUGUUGCUGUCGGAUUGUAUGUUGAUUUUAUGUAAGAUUUGAUUGUUAAACCAGCUGCAUAACUCACUUCAACUGCAGGUAGAACAUGAGCAAUAGCAAAAGUACUGAAACCAAGUGCUUCUGAAUUUGCAAGUAUCAUUGCUAUACCACCUGAAUUUAGAACUUCUUGUCCUUUCACAAUACUUGAGACAUUUCCUACAUCACACAGCACUACUUUUCCGCUUAAAUCAAUGUUCUUUAAGGAUCCUGGUAAACACAAGGACUGAUUCUGUGUUUGGUUUCCAUAUCCAAAUGAACCUGGAUACACAAGUGGCAAUAGUUGUUGAGAAAAGUCUUUGGGUUGGAACAACGUUUCACCUUCAUAUUCUUCACCAUUUCCUAGCUUUGCUGAUGCUACAAUUUUUCUGUCAAUUGUGCUAGCACCAACAGUGAGGAUCCAAGGAGCUUCAUUGGAGAGAGUGCUAUAUCCAGGACCAGAGUUUGCAGCAGAGCAACUAACAAAAACACCAUUUUGAGUUGCAGCAAAAGCACCAAUUGCAAUUGGGUCUUCAAAGAAUGGAAGGGAACCUAAACCAAGUGAAAGUGAAAGAACAUCUACACCAUCUUCGAUAGCAAUAUCCAUUGCAGCUAAGAUAGCACUUUCAGUGCAUCCAAUUUUGUCAUUACACACUUUGUAUAUUGCUAAGUGGGCAUUAGGUGCCAUUCCUGCUGCUACACCUUUAGCAUUACCAAAAACACUUGCAUCUUCUAUGAAUCUUCCUGCAGCCUCGGCAGCGGUGUGUGUUCCAUGGAAGAAAUUCUCAAAUGGAGGCUCUUGAAUUGCACUUUUGACCAAGUUUCUUGCACCUAUGAGCUUAUUGUUGCAUACUUGCCCUCCGGUGAAUUCACAAUGACCUUUCCAUUUUGCAGGUGGUGGCGGCAUUCCUUCGUCGUUGAAAGAUGGAUGUAAAGGGAAUAUUCCCGUGUCUAUGAUACCAAUUAUGACGCCUUUUCCAAGAUUAUCGUCGCUCCACAAUCCUUGUCCUUGUUUCAGACCCAAGAAAGUUGGAGUGUGAGUUGUGUGUAAUUCAAGGGUCCUUUCAGGUCUUGCUGACACAAUUUCACCUUUCUCUUGAAGAGAUUUGGCUUCUUCUGGUGUUAGCUUCACAGCAAAUCCAGAGGCUACUUUGCGGUAAGAGAAAACCAUUCUUUCUUUGUGAGGAAAAGUUUGUGGAAGGAAUGAAUGGUACCAACUAUGCAAAUCUUCUGAUUGAUGAGAAGCAACAUUUUCUGAUUUUUUGACAUGAACAAUGUAUGUCAUUAAGUUUAUUUGAUCAUGUUCUAGAUUCUCCUCUGCAGCCAACAUUGAUAUGCUGCAGAGAAUGAAAAUGAGGCUAACAAGCAAUCUAAGCUCCAUCUUCAUCAUGAUUUGAAAUUUGAUGAAAAAAAAGAGAAAGUUGCUUCUGAUUUGCCUAGUGACAUGCAUAUGUAUAUAUAGGUAGAUGUAUACCAUAGAAAACAUAAUUAUAUUAAAUUGGCCAUAGUUUUUAUUUUAAUUACUUUACUACAUAGGAAAAUAAGGAAAUGCAUUGUGCUGGCUUGGGACGGCUAAUUAGUUUUCAAUGCAGGGAAAAUAGGAAUGAUUAAAAAAAAAGAAAAAGGAAUGAUAAAAGACUUUUUUGGUAAUUUGAAUAAUGCAAAUCUCAUAGUAAUGCCCGCUAUAUAUUUGGUGUUAAUUUGUAUGGAUGUGGUAUGGUGCUAACUGCUAGUAACAACUAUGAUGUACAUUGGUACAUCUAUUUUUCUGGACAUAUCUCCCCAACAUUGCCAUAUGUGAAGUUAUCCACAAAAAGACAAGUUUUAUGUUGUACAACAGAAAUGUUAAAAUUUGAUAAAUUAUUAUUAAUUAAAGUGUUAUUAAUGAAUAUUUUACAACCAUUUUUAGGGGAUUUGAACUUGUAUGUUUGCUUUCAAUUUUGGAGGAGUCAAUUAAUUCUAGAGAUCGUAGAAUUGGUUUUAUUUUAUUGGAUGAUUUAAACGAGAAUUGAUAUUGCUUGUAAAAUUUAUUUUAUUUGAAGUAUGAAUUUGUAGUUCGAGCAUUAGCUUUCAUACCAGCAAAGGAUGAUACCAAACCUGUUCUUAAGACCCAGUCACCGGUGGUGGAUGUGCCGACUCCUGUCAUUUUGGAGGCAUGCCACUCCGAGGCCAAUCAUAUCAGAAACACCUCUGUCUUCCGACCUCACUUUUCAAUAGAAUUGAUACCUCGCCAAUUCACUCUCUAUAAAUCGAAGAGGUUCCCAGAUGUAACUGGCAGAUUGCUACUUAUAUUUCAAUAAUAAUCAAGAGGAAUUUCAGUUAUGUUUUUUUUUCUUCUCUGCUCUUGUGAUUGAGAGUUCUCAUCAGUUAACACCUCUUGGUAAGCAUGAAAAAUAACUACAUCAAAGAAAAUUUAGAAACUUCGAGGGCAUGCUAUAUAUUAUGUAAUUCCACCACAAUAUAAUUGAAAUAUGGUGACAUGCAACACAGUGAAUGUAUAUUAAAAACUAAAUUCUAUAGCAGCAACAUUAUCAAGAACAAGAAUAAAUAAAAAUAAAUUAAAACGAUUCUCACUCGUCAAAUCAGAGUAGAAAUGCACAAACUAUUUAAACUAUUUUUUUCCACUUUCCACCCUCAAGUACGGUGCACCGUGUUUUGAGGUAUGGUCCAUUUUGGGUGUAAGCCCUUAUGAUUUUGUCCUUUGUAAAAGACAUCAUUGAGUUGAGGAGUGUGGGUGUUGUAUAUAAAAGAAGAAGAAAAAAUCAUUCAUAGAAAAUAAUCACACAGUAUACAAGAAUUAACGGAAAUUCAAAUAAAUCGUCAAAGAGGAACAUACUUUCAAUGAAACAAAGGUUUGAUAUAGUUCCACCGGCGUUUAGCAUUGGUAAUUCUAGCUCUCUCAACGAUGAAGAACACUUGUUCACAAUCUUCUAUCAAUUCAAACCAAACACCAACAAUAACAAACCCAAACCUGCUUUCAUGCCAGCAAAGGAUGAUACCAAACCUGUUCUUCAAGACCUGGUCAGUACUCUAUUCUCUCUCUCUCUCUCUCUCUCUCUCUCUCUCUCUCUCUCUCUCUCUCUCUCUCUCUCUCUCUCUCUCUAAUGGUUAGAGAUCACACUUUAUUCUCUCAUGUGUAAAUUACACAUGAGAGGAUCCAUUCCCAAUAAAAUCAUAUUCGGAAAGAAGAGUGUUAAAAGUGUUUGACAUUGUUGAAUUUGCAAAAAUGUUAAGUUGUUCUUCUAUUUGUCUUAAGGAUGCAGAAAGGGUUACGAGCAUUGGGAGUGGAUCAUAAUUUUGGAGAAGUGUUGAAGGGAGGACAAUGCAAGUAAGUAUGAAGAUUAUAGUUUAUGUUUGAAAGUAUGCAUAACCUACAAGCAGUUAAGUUGCAAGGUCUCUAUUCGCAUGUAGAUGUGGAAAUAGUUCAUAUCCGACUUUUGUUAAAUAGGUUAGGUCAGUUUUGAAAUGAAAUUUAGAGCUUGAGUAUGGCAUGUUAAGUGUAUGUUUGGAUGAAUGAGAGUUUGACAAAAUUACCGUGACUCACCAUGAUUCUAUCAUUCUCACCGCAAAUAUGCAAUAGAGUAUUUUUGAAGGUCUGAAUUGACUUUUUUAUACGUCUGUUUUGGUUUAUACGCACAUUUAAAACUUAUUUUACAUUAGGCGUUUACACUUUACAUAAGCCAAUUAUCCUAUACUUCUAAAUGGGAAAAUAACCUAGUGUAAUUAAGCCAAUCAUUAAUUAUGCCAAUAGACGUACAGAAAAAGUUAUCUCCUACUUCUCAAAUUAUAUCUCCACCCCUACAAAUUAUUUGAAGUACUUAAAUUAAUUUUUGAUUCUGUGGAUUUUUAAAGUUUGAGUUUGUCGGGAUAAAAACAGGUUAUGUCAAACUCAAACAACUUUGUCGAAACACGAGGGUGGGAGAUUUUUUUCUUAAAAAUCUACAGAAUUUACGAGAUUUGAUGAAUAGAGAUAAAAUUAAAUAAAGUGUGUCGACAGAAAUAGUUCAGCUCCUGCUCCCACAUAUAUUUAACAUAGAUUUACAAAUUUUAUGUACGAUUUGGUACCCCUCAAAAAAAUGUACGAUUUGGUAUUUUUACUUUGGUUAGCCUUUGGAUUUAUAGCACAAGUACUGUGUCAUACAACUCUCUUGUUUUUUGAAAGGGUGUGUCAUACAACACUUCACGUUCAAAGGAUAAUAAUAACACGAUAUACUAUUUAGUCAAAGAAAUAAAAGAACAUGUCAUACUAUUGGCCAAAGCCAAAAAGUAUAAAUUUACUUGUACAAAGAAACAUUAUAGUAACUAGUUAGUAUCUCUUGACUUUCGACCUAUAAUAUAUUCCAUUCCCUUUAUUUCUUGAACAUCAUAUCAUCACCCUCUCCAUUCAUAUAUCACUUGAAAAUGACAGAUAUCGGCACCCUAACAGCAUGUUUAUCAGACACCCAAGUGAGGGAGCCCUGACCAAAAGUUUGAUUCCUUCUGUUUUCCUUUAUUUGUGGUAUAAAUUCAACAGAGAAACUAACCUUCUCAUUCACCUCAGUGAAUGUUAUUUCACUUGGAUUAACACUCAUACCCAAAGCCAAAGGCACUUCAAGUUCAACUCUAUAUGUUGAAUUUGCAAACCCAACAUUAGUCAAAGUUCUGGUAUAAUAUUGUGAAUCUGACCCCAACAGAAUAGAAAAAGAAGGAUAAUUCAAUUGAGCUUCUGGUAUACUUUUCACAUUAGAGCACUUCACUUUCCACUGAACAAUAACUUCAAUCUCUUUAUCAGAAUAACCCAAACCACAAAGAUAAGGAACAUAAUCUUCUGGUUCAAUAUCAUAAACAAGACCAGGAUCAUUAGCUUUAAAAGGAUUAACAUGUCCUGCACCAGUAGCGAAAAUAUCAGCCGGCAAAAGCCUUUGAUCCAGUAUAGGUAUCCCGCCGAGGUUGAGAGUAUUUGCAGUUGUCAUGAUUGCUGAUUUUAUAGCGGCUGGCGACCAAUCAGGGUGAGAACUUUUGAUCAAUGCAGCAAUACCACUUAGGUGAGGACAAGACAUUGAAGUACCGGAAACAAUGUUAAAAGCUGGAAUUUUGUUGUCUACAGAAACACCCCAUGCAGCUAGAAUGUUGACACCUGGACCAAUGAUGUCUGGUUUAAGAAUUCCUGGACUUUCUUGGCUUGGUCCUCUUGAAGAAAAUGAAACAACAGAAGGAGCUAAAGAAUCACCAAUUACUGUUCCUUUGAAUAUCAAUGUUGCUGUUGGAUUGUAGGUUGAGUUUAUGUAAUCUUUGAUUGUUAAACCAGCUUUGUAACUCACUUCAACCGCAGGUAGAACAUGAGCAGUAGCAAAAGUGCUGAAACCAUCACUUUCUGAGUUUACAAGAAUCACUGCUACACCACCUGAAUUUAAAACUUCUUGUCCUUUCACAGUGCUUGGAACACGUCCUCCGAUAUCACACAACACUACUUUUCCACUUAGAUCGAUGUUCUUUAAGGAUCCUGGAAGACACAAAGACUGAUUCUGUGUCUGGUUUCCGAAUCCAAAUGAGCCUGCAUACACAAGAGGUAAUAAUUGUUCAGAAAAAUCUUUGGGUUGGAAUAAUGUUUCACCUUCAUAUUCAUUUCCAUUUCCUAGCUUUGCUGAUGCUACAAUUUUUCUAUCAAUUGUGCUUGCACCAACAGUGAGGAUCCAAGGAGCUUCAUUGGAAAGAGUGCUGUAUCCAGGACCAGAGUUUGCAGCAGAGCAACUAACAAAAACACCAUUUUGAGUAGCAGCAAAAGCACCAAUUGCAAUUGGGUCUUCAAAGAAUGGAAGAGAACCUAAACCAAGUGAAAGUGAAAGAACAUCUACACCAUCUUCAAUAGCUAUAUCUAUUGCAGCUAAGACAGAACUUUCAAAGCAUCGAAUGUUAUCAUCACAAACUUUGUACAUUGCUAUGUGAGCAUUAGGUGCCAUACCAGCUGCUACACCUUUAGCAUUACCAAAAACACUUGCAUCUUCUACGAAUCUUCCUGCAGCCUCUGCAGCAGUGUGAGUUCCGUGGAAGAAAUUCUCAAACGGAGGCUCUUGAAUUGCAUUUUUUACCAUGUUUCUUGCUCCUAUGAGCUUAUUGUUGCAUACUUGCCCUCCGGUGAAUUCACAAUGGCCUUUCCAUUUUGCAGGUGGUGGCGGCAUUCCUUCGUCGUUGAAAGAUGGAUGUAAAGGGAAUAUUCCCGAGUCUAUGAUACCAAUUAUGACGCCUUUUCCAAGGUUAUCGUCGCUCCACAAUCCUUGUCCUUGUUUCAGACCCAAGAAUGUUGGAGUGUGAGUUGUAUGUAAUUCAAGGGUCCUUUCAG
rnacentral:lncRNA from 1 species